rnacentral:lncRNA from 1 species
AGUUCAGGCGCGAGGCAAGCAGCCGAGGUCCGGGGCUGCGGCCGCGGCCGGGGCGGACCCGGGAGCUGGGCUUCCCAAAGCGUCGCGUGUGGGCAACGGCGGCCUCCUGGCCGCGUGGAACUGAGCCCUGCGCUGCAGCAUGAAGGCGGCGGCGGCGGCGGCGGCGGGCGCGCGGCCGUGAGCUCAGCCCGCGCUGCAGUGACGGGAGCGGCCGUGUCGGCCAGACCCCGAGAGUCCGUGAGACCCCGGCCGGGGCCGCUCCGCUGCUGUCAGCCCUCGGGCCUCCCAGCCAGACUGGUUCUGAACCGAUUUAUCAGGGGGUUGCGGAGAGGGCCGGCGAAGCGCCAGGAAAUCCCCAGGCUGAGGAGGCGCGGGGGCGUUGCAGGAAGGGGGAAGGGAAAAGGCAGAAAACCUGGAGAAUGAAAGCGAACUUCCAGGGGCGUCCCCAGCCUCCUGCAAAAGGGCAAUUUGCUGAUCGCCCACUUCCUCGCAGUUACGGGAUAGAGAGAAUCAUCACUGAGUCAAGCUUCGGCUGCUUAGGGCGGUGGGAAAAGUCAUUAUCUAUAAUAACCCGCCGGAAAUUUUGAGGAGAGCUACUGACUUGGGGGUUUCAGUCAUCUGAGGCUGGCUUCCGCUGUCCCCUUAGUUGUGGGUGGUGAUUUGCUUACUAAUCAGAUGGGAGCGGAUUCUGAAAAGAACAUUUAUAUUUGGGAAUCAACUCAGCUCAGCAUCAGACAUUACGAAUACUGCAGUUGGUCACAUUUUACUAUGUGAAGGGCAGAAAGGGAGCCCAACAGUCUUCAUAAGCCAGACCUAGUCUCUAAGGUCACCGGCACAGACGCAGGGUCUAAAGCAGGAAAGAGGUGCGACUGGAAAGGAGGUUAGACAGGGCCCUGCGGGAAUGGAUCUGCCCGGAGCCCUCGCCUGGUUUUGCUUGAGACUCCGACAAGACUCCCAAUGCUUCUCUCCCCGACCCUAUCCCCACUCCCUCCAUCCUGGAAAAGCCAGUGAGCAAAGUUAACUCUUUCUUCUAAGAAACCCUGAGUGAAAUCUUGCUCUUCCUUUCUGCUAGAGUCCUGAAACCCUUUCGCUUCUCAUUGUGGGUUCACCAGCACGUGGUCUUCGGACACUGAGAGCACCUUCGCUCUCAGCUGUGAUCCUAGCUAGCCCAGACACCAGUCUGUACCCAAAGGAAGAGUAGGAAGUUGCAAAGGGAAGCUGGCUAACAAGGGCUUCUUCUGCCCUACUUGGCAAAGGCCCAUACGGGUGGCCUCCGUGGAUAUGGAGCUCCUUCAUUUUGUUCCAAAAAGAGCUCUGCCAGGCUUUACCAUUGCCCUGGAGGUGCACAGGCGCCCGUAUACUCGAGCACAACCAUGGGCUCACCCCAAGCGCGCACACCUGCACCCACGCGUAAGGAAGAACCACACAGCUAUCUCUGUCGGGGAAGAACACGAGGAGUGAAGUGCUUUAGGUGGAAACUCCUCACAUCUCCUUUCUUUCCUCUGCUCCCCCUCUCUGCCCCUGGUACUCCGGAUCCAAUCCUUGGCUUAGGAAUCCACUCAAGCCACGUCUGGCUGCUUUGUUCCAGAGGAGCGCAGCUCCGAGACUGCACUUCAGCGGUGCAGCCUCCCUCCAGGUCGGCGAGCGGCGCCAGAUCCGGGACUUCAGGGUCUCCGCGGGAGCUUAGGAGGCUCAGGAUCUGAGUUGGAGAGCUGGAAGGCCAAACUCCGAGCCGCUGAGGGACUGCGCAGGAAGACCACAGAAAUAAACCAAAGGGACACCGCGGACAGAUGUACCAGAGGACACCACUGAAGUCCAGGAGAAUCUCCACCAAAACCAUCAGCGUUUUCCUUGUAGCUUUCUGUCCCUCGAAGUGGAAAGUUGAGGUUUCUGAGAAGUCCACGGAGAGAACCUGCAGCAAACUGAAGCCACAGACUCCGAAGGCAUAGGGAGAAAAAAUGCUUCCAUCCCCCUUUCACUUUAAACUUGAUCGCUUCUGGGACUUCACUGGAGGGCGGUGGAGUUGCACCAACCUGGAGUACAGGCAGAUCCCAGCGAGCACUUCCAAGUACUUUAGGACGUGGGGGUGACUCUUUUUUCUUCAGGAUUGUCCCACUUGCCACCCUUUCCAGCUGAGCUGAUAGGAACCAAUGAAAGUCUAGGCGAUGAGGAUUUUCCGUUACCUCAGGGAUCAAAGUAUAAAAUGUUGAAUGAGAAACCCGAAGACCUUGCAUCGCUGGGCUGAAUAACUUGUUUUCUUUUUUAUGGUGUCCAGACUGAGGUAGGGAGGGGACACACUGACCUAGCUGUAAGAAGUCAAGGGUUGGGACAAAACAAAGUUCAAAUAUAUACUGGAAUUUGUGUGUGUGUGUGUUUCAGAAACUGUGUGUGUGUGUGUGUGUGUGUGUGUGUGUGUGUGUUUUCAGCUUGAGAAAGAUGAAAUCACGUUUCCUUAAUGCUGGGAGUAAUAAUGCUUAAUGCUUAACUUUUCAUUGUUCUUUCAUGUUUCAAGCCCUACCAGGCCCAGGAAAACACUUCUUUCCGUUUCCUGUAGCCUUCCUGCGUAUCAUGCAUUAUAUUUGAAAGUGCUUUCCUCUACUUUCCUCAUUUUAUCUCAAUAAUCUCUGCUAAAACCAGAUAACUUUCACCCUCCCGGUUCAGCAUUUGCUCUUUUCCCUCCUACACAAGCUGAUUAGAAUUUGCAAAGAGAGAGGAAGAAGAAAGGUUCUAUUUUGUUUCAUGAUUGUUGCUAGAAAACGGCAAGACCUCGGGAGAGAGACCAGCAUAUUAUUUCCCAGUGGAUGUCAGAGCUAGCAAAGUUUUUUUUUUUUCUUUAAAUUUUAUUCCCUAGCAGGUCAAAAACUAGUAUGUUUGCAAGAACAAUUUCUAGUUUGCUCAUAAAACUAUUGUUAUUAGCCACUCUAAGGUUGGCAUACUUUUAAAAGUUCAAACAAGUUCCUUCUAGAAUAGGGUUCUUUUAAACAUUAACAUUUAAAAAGAAGUAAUUUUUUUCAUAAAUAAUUUAGAUUUAACUCUUUACCUCUAUAGUAUAUCUGCCUUACUUCGUUAAUGUGUCCCCUGAUUUACUGCCUAUGUCAAAGCACUUUUAAAAUAAUGUCAAUUUUCUUGUUCUCCCAGUUCAUUUUUCUGAGGACCAAUGGUGAUAAGUGUUGGUCUGCCUAUCUUCCCAGAAUAAUCCAAGAUUUGGGGAAAGAAAGAGUAUUUUGCUAAUUUCAGUUUUCUUUCACAUUAAAAAGUUCAACGUAUCUAGAACGGAACAAAACGGAGAAAGCAAAGAAUAAAGCAAAGAAACAUAUAUUGGGGAAAGGAUACUGUAUUCAGUAAAUUGUGCUGGAAAAAGUGGUAAGCCACAUGUAGAAGAAUGAAACUGGAUCCCCAGCUCUCACCUAAUACAAAAAUCGACUCAAGAUGCAUCAAAGACUUAAAUAUAAAACCUGAAACCUUGAAAAUUCUAGAAGAUAACACCAGAAAAACUCUUCUAAAUGUUGGCUUACGCAAAGAAUUCAUGACUAAGACACCAAAAGAAAAUGCAACAAAAACAAAAAUAAAUAAAUGGGACUCAAUUAAACUGAAAAGAUUUUGCACACCAAAUAAAUAAUCAGAAGAAUAAACAGAAAACCCACAGAAUGGAAGAAAAUAUUCACCAACUAUGCAUCUGACAAAGGACUAGUAUCCAGAAUUUACAAGGAACUCAAACAAAUAAAUGAAUUCAAAUAUCCCAUUAAAAAGUGUGCAAAGGACAUGAAUAGACAAUUGUCAAAAGAAGAUAUACAAACAGCCAAUAAACAUAAAAAAAAAUACAGCAUCGCUAGUCACCAGGGAAAUGCAAAUUAAAACCACAGUGAGAUUCCACCUUACUCCCGCAAGAAUGUCCACAAUUAAAAAGUCAGAAAACAAUAGAUGUUGGCAUGGAUUUGGUGAAAAUCACAUCAGUGAAUACAGAUUUGGGAAGAAAUGUGCAUAACUGGUUUCAGCUAGCCAACACGCUGGUCCCAGUAUACCACUGGCUACGGCAUUCUAAAAGUGUCCUCAUAUGUAUCUAUUAAAUAUUCAAGAACUUUGACCAAUAUAUUCUCUGCCAAAUGCUCUCAAGAAAUCUUGGUGGAGAUGGUGUCGGGGUAAGGUGGGGGUUUUUCCGAAAUGGAAUCAUGUUAAUGUGGACUUAAUGUUAAAAUAUGAAUUUUCAAAAAAAUUUGCUUUACUUUCAGUAGGCUAAAUACCUACAUAGUAAAAUUUAAAAAAAUCUGUAAUUCUCUCUUAAUUUAUUCAUUAUACUAUUAUAUGUGGUAGGCAUUUUUUUCCUGGCUCUCAUAUCAUUUGUGUUUGUUUUAUACUAAUGAAAUACAGAAAAACUCUGUAGUAUAUAGAGCCCAAUGGAACUUUUAAGAGUGAGAAUUUUAAUUUGUAUAUUAUGGAAAAGUCAUCUCAGAAAUAUUAGUUUAUAAAUAUGCAGAUACAAUUUCUAGAAUGUCAAAAAAUAAUCCUUUCACCUGAGUUGUCUUAAGUAAAUAACUUUUAGGAUUUUUAAUUGGAUUAUUUAUGUAAUCAUUAUAAAGGAGAUCUGAGGUAAAUUGCUUAAGCAUUUUCUUUAGCUUUUUGCAAGACUAAAAAUGGAGAAUAAAUAUUUGCUCAAAUAUCGAGUCAAACUAAUUUUGAAGAGAAAUCUCUAAAUACUUUAUUAAAUGACCAAAAUAUAAGAAAAUGUUUAAAAAGACUGCAAAUAGAAACACAUCAGUUUAAAGCACACAAAGAGAUAAGUGGAAAAAGUAUUUUCUCAGAACAUGCUAAAAAAAACUUAGAAUAUCCAGGAUACUGCAUUUAUUCAUCCUUACAACAUGAAUUUUAAAUAUCUUAGCGACUGUGCUAUCAUUUUCAGUGUUCUGUAUGAAUUCUUACCUUCUCAGAAGAUUAUGUAGAUAUAACAGAUACUUCUGGAAUAUAUAUCCAUGAUAAGAUUUGUCUUUUUACAGGAGAAAAGAAAAUAUAUCAAGUCCAACAGAACUUAAGAAAAUACAAUUUAAUUAACUUUAUAUGAUAUAGGCCUUGUUAAUAUUAUAUAUCAAAAAAGAAUUCUAGUUUAUAUUCUUUUGUCUGUAAGAUGGGGGAGCUGUUGCAUUAUAAAAAAUACUGGUCAGUUCCAUUCCUCUAAGCAUUUUCUUUUGAUUAAAAUCAUUUGUAGUAAAAAUGAUGACCCAAACCUUUGUAAAUGAUAUUUUAGCUGGGUUAUAAUCUAAUGAAAUUGUGAUUUUAAAAGUGCUUCAAUUACUACAACUAUAAAAUCUUGGUUUACUAGGAAUAUGUAUAAGGUGAAGUAUCCAUUAUUUCUUUAACAUCAGUAUAUAUUGUUUAACAUUCUGCUUUUGGGCUAAGACUUCCUAGGCUUUACAGAAGAGAAGUUGUUUAUCUGAACAGUGUAAAAAUAUGUGUGUGUGUGUGUGUGUGUGUGUGUGUGUAUGUGUAUAAAAAUAUAUGUUCUGUUGUUAUUUAGUUAUGUCUUCCCUGAAAACACUGAUAGAUCCAACAAGUCUCUUGAUUCCUCUUAAAGAUAAGCAAGAAGAAGAAUAAAGUAUGUCACACUUAAACUUGAGUAAAUCCAAGUUGGAAAAACAGAAGCAGAUUUUUUUUUAAUCCUACAGGAUGAAUGUUGAGAGAGACAAAAAUAUUAACACCACAUAAAUUAUAACCUAGAGAAAUUCUAAACCAGGUUGAAAACCUACGCAUAAGCAGUCAAUAAUUAUCUUACACUUAUGCAAUACAAUUUUUUAUUACAGAAAGAACUUUAGUAAUUACCUCAUGCUGUAUAUAUGGGAAAGGAGAUAAGGAAGAAAAACUCUUUAUAGUAUGCAAUUAGUUAUCUCCUGCCUUAUCUUGGUAUUUGUAGAAACACUUGGAAGUAGGAAAAGUGAACAUUUGUAUCCCUGUUCUAUAGUUUAAAAAAUUGACACACAUAAGUUAUUUUUAAUUUAUCCAGUUAAUCACCAGUAAUCAUGAUGCUUUAUGAAUGACAAUUCUUUUAUAUUUAUUCAAAAAUAUGGGGAAAAUAAAUGACAUCUGCCUAUAUAACUUAAAAUUCUUGAAGAAAAUGUGUAUAGGAAUAACUUGGUAUGAAAUGUUAUAGAAAUGUUAGUUCUUUGUCUCUUAUAGUUACAGUAAGUGGCUAAUCAUCAUGUCUACGUUUAUGUAUAAUUUAUUUACAUUUUAAAAUGUUCUAACCUUGAAUACAUAGGGAACAAAUAUCUGAUGAUAGGUGUUUGCAAGGCAGCAUCAGUGAUUUUUCUUGAUAUUUUAUCUGAAAUAUCUGAGUAUCUACUAGGAAUCUAACAUGGAAAGGUAAUUACAUAUGAUGUUGGAAGCAAAUUUGUAUACACCCUAUUUAUGGCCAAGCAAAACAGUGUAAUGUGUCUGAGCAUGUAUGUGUUCCUUUCACCAGUUUUCUUGUGGUAGAAUUUAUAAAACUGCAUAUAUUCACAAUGUACAAUGUGAUGGUUUGACGUAUAUAUACAUUGUGAAAUAAUUACCACAAUCAAGUCAAUGAACACAUUCAUCACCUCAGCGUUUUCUAAAAUUACAUUUAUCAAACUGUAUUUGAAAGUAAAUGUGUUUUCUCAUUGUUAACCACGACUUUAAAACUUUAUUACAGAUUAAUGUUAAGAAAGCUACUGAAAUUAAUUUUAGUAAUAAAACAUCUGAAUAUACACCAUGAAAUGUAUAAAUGUAUGUGCUGAUUUUAGGAGUACAACUAAAUAAGUAAUGCAAACUUACUUGCAGGAUCAUCACUUUAACUCUGUCUCUCUCUCUCUCUCUCUCUUUAUAUAUAUGUCUCUCUCAUAUAUAUGAUAUAUCUUAUACAUCUAACUAUAUAUAUGUAGAGGAAGAAAGAGACACUAUAGAGUAAUACAACCUUUCCAUUAACUGCAUAUAAAGUCAGCCUUAUAAUAAUGCCCCUGGAUUAUCUGACCCUUUAAUAAAAUGUUAUACAUAUUUAGAGACUUGGAUUGUGCCUGUUUUUACUAACAGUUGUUAUUUAAAAUAUUAUUAGUAAGUUAAUUCAUAUAAACCAUGCAGAGAAGCUGUAUAACUGUGCAUAUAAAUAGUGAAGAGAAACUGAUCUGGCAUUCAGGGAUGUUGAGAUUAUUCCAACUCCGCUGCCAAUUGGCUGUGUGUCUUUGGAGAGGUCACAUAAUAUCUCCGAGCUAUAGUUUCCUUAUCAGUAACAUAGACUAGAUGAUUUUUAAAAUUUCACUCAGCACAUAAUUUGAUCUCUAACUUAAAAGAGCUGGAAUAAAAAUCACCACUAAAAAUUAUUAGCGUUACUAUGGUUGUACUUUGUUUUUAUACAUUACAGGCAUUAAAAACUACCUAGAGUUAAUUAGUAUUCGACAAAAUUAUUUCUUACAAAUCUUACGCUAUUCUGUAACGCAUGGGUCUAAUAUGUAUUUAAUGUAGCUUUCGUACAACUGCAAAAACUUCAAAGCAUAUCUGAACUUGUGGGUUUUGUAAGACUUGAACGCUAUAAAUGAAAGUAAUGGAAAUUUUAUUAUAUUCUAUUAUCGAUUGUGUGAUUAGAGUUGUUGAGUGGUAACUCAGUGUCUCAUGUGUGUGAAAGAGAGAGAAAUGAUGACAGUUGUAAAAGCCUAAGAUACACAAGACAGAAUAGUGGUUAGGAUCAUAAGCUUGGAAAUUAGAACCGAUAUUUUACUUCCAGUGUCUGCCACAUCUCAGUGGUAUGACUUUGGGAAAGUAGUUUAAUUUCUCUGAGUUACUUCAUCUGUAGUAUGCAGAUUACAAUAGCCACCGCACAGUGGGUAUAAAGAUGAGUAAGGUUAUAUUUUUGAACACGUAGAAGAGUAUCUGACAUACAAUAAGUGUGUACCGUUAAAGUAUACUUAAACAAAAUUUAAUAUUAAUAAAAGCUAUAUAUAGGUAUAUGGUUUUCACUUUUUGUUGUUGUUGUUAUUAUUGUUUUUCUUCAGUGCUGGGAAAACUGGCUAGCCAUAUGUAGAAAGCUGAGACUGGAUCCCUUCCUUACACCUUAUACAAAAAUUAAUUCAAGAUGGAUUAAAGACUUAAACAUUAGACCUAAAACCAUAAAAACCCUAGAAGAAACCUAGGCAAUACCAUUCAGGACAUAGGCAUGGGCAAGGACUUCAUGUCUAAAACACCAAAAGCAAUGGCAACAAAAGCCAAAACUGACAAAUGGGAUCUAAUUAAAGUAAAGAGCUUCUGCACAGCAAAAGAAACUACCAUCAGAGUGAACAGGCAACCUACAGAAUGGGAGAACAUUUUUGCAAUCUAUUCAUCUGACAAAGGGCUAAUAUCCAGAAUCUACAAUUAACUCAAACAAAUUUACAAGAAAAAAUCAAACAACCCCAUCAAAAAGUGGGCAAAGGAUAUGAACAGACACUUCUCAAAAGAAGACAUUUAUGCAGUCAACAGACAUAUGAAAAAACGCACAUCAUCACUGGCCAUCAGAGAAAUGCAAAUCAAAACCACAAUGAGAUACCAUCUCACACCAGUUAGAAUGGUGAUCAUUAAAAAGUCA